UAGGGAAUAUUGGACAAUGGGGGCAACCCUGAUCCAGCCAUGCCGCGUGAGUGAUGAAGGCCUUCGGGUUGUAAAGCUCUUUCGUUGGGGACGAUAAUGACGGUACCCAAAGAAGAAGCCCCGGCAAACUUCGUGCCAGCAGCCGCGGUAAUACGAAGGGGGCUAGCGUUGUUCGGAAUUACUGGGCGUAAAGGGCGCGUAGGCGGCCUUUCAAGUCAGGCGUGAAAGCCCUGGGCUCAACCCAGGAACUGCGCUUGAGACUGUGAGGCUGGAGUGCGAGAGAGGUGAGUGGAAUUUCCAGUGUAGAGGUGAAAUUCGUAGAGAUUGGAAAGAACACCAGUGGCGAAGGCGGCUCACUGGCUCGCAACUGACGCUAAGGCGCGAAAGCGUGGGGAGCAAA
rnacentral:rRNA from 1 species